rnacentral:rRNA from 1 species
UAAUACAUGCAAGUCGAGCGCCCUUCGGGGGAGCGGCAAACGGGUGAGUAACACGUUGGAAUCUGCCUCGCACUCAGGGAUAGCCCACUGAAAAGUGGAUUAAUACCGGAUAGUCUCGUAAGAGUAAAGCUUUUGCGGUGCGAGAGGAGCCUGCGUAGUAUCAGCUUGUCGGUAAGGUAACGGCUUACCAAGGCUAUGACGCUUAGCUGGUCUGAGAGGAUGAUCAGCCACAAUGGGACUGAGACACGGCCCAUACUCC